CAGCAGCGGAUCCCUUCUUCCUCUCCACCUCCCCACUAGACGAGGAGGCCGUGUCGUGCUUGCGCCGCACCAUCGCACACGCCAGCAGAGAAGCGGUUGCCUCCUUCUUUGCUCGCCUGUUUGUGUGUUGUGUGCGCACCGAUGGAGCGCCACAUAAUACACCCUUGCGGCUGAUUGAAGCUUCCAAAACGGGCCUACCACUUCUACGCUCCUCACGCGUGCUCCGCAUAUCAGCCACUGUGCACAUCGAUACCGCUAGCAUACCCAUUCGCACCAGCGGACACGCACGCGCUCGAGGUUUGCUGCUUCAGGUAUCGUGCAGUCUACCGAGUUGCCAGAAUCCAGCAUCGCCAGCAUGUCCAUCUUUGGCGUCUCUUCCUACUUUCUGUGGACGCAGAAGGGGCAGACGGUGCUGCCACUUGUGCGAGGGAGCGGCUUUCUUAUGCCCUUUCAACAUCUGAACACCUUCUACAGCUAUCACGUCAUGUCCGCUGCCCACGUCACAUGCCCAGUCAAGCACCGGAAACUGUACGGGGACACCAUUGGGCUCAAGGCGAUUGGAGAACGGCACAUCAGCACCCGCUUGCUCAUACCAGACGAAGCCACACACAAGGUGCAGUCAUCUUUCGAGCUGGAGUUUAGACAGGAGUACAUGCCUAACACCGAUGUUGCCUCACUGCGUCUGUGCAAGGAGGAGCAGUUCAAACAAGCGAUGCUGCCACCACAGAACAGCGGCACCGGCGCCGCAUCUCCGCUGCAGGUGAUCCAGCCAGAUCUGGACCGCAUAGAGGAGGGGGAUGAGCUGAUCCUGUGCGGCGUCCACACACAGGAGGAGCGCGCCAACCCCAACGACGACGGGCUGGCGCUUAAUCCGAUGCGUUUGAUUGCCACGUGCAAGGCGGCCCUCUUGUCGCUCGACUACGGUACCGUUCUGCUGGCCUCCAUCGAUGGCCCAGCCGAGGAGGCUAGGGAGAGCGGCAGCGGUAGCGCAGCUUCUGCCAGUAGGCCAGUCACAGUGCCGCCUCUUCCGUUGAGUAUGUGCGGUGGCCCCGUGCUGCGCCGUUCCUCUGGAAGGUGCGUAGGCGUGAUUGCGGCGCGGGUUAUGAAAAACGCGCCACCGCGGGAUCCACAAUCUACCUCGCUCUACCAGGACCCGUAUCUGGACAUCUCCGAGCACAUCGCCUUGCACGCGCUCUGGCCGCUGGAUGUCGCGUUUGUGCCCAUUGGUGAGUUCUACGACCCCCUUCGUCGCUGCGAGAUGUAGGGGGAGAAGGGGGUGGAGAAGUGGUGAUGUCUCUCUCUGCGUGUACGUGCCGUUGAGUGUGCCCAUGAGUGAGGCGCAUGAUGAUGAAGCGCGUGCGCGGUGGACCGAAGUGGCAGAGUGGAAACGAAGGACGAAGAGGUUGUGGUGAUGGUGGUAGGGAGCGCAGCUUGUGCGUGCGGUGGGACCCUCUGUGUCUCGCUGCUCGGAAACGGAGGGUGAUGGUCGCGGUCGGCGUGCCGCGGUGUUUGCACCACCGUCGUGAUAUGAGUGUGGAUGUGUGUGCCGGUGGACCGGAGAUACACACCUUCCGCUCACCCGCGAAUCCUCUCUUCCACCCCCUCUCUUGCUCGCCGCCCUUCGCUUUCUUUCUUCCGUUUAGUGAUGAUGACAGCACGCGGCUUUCGAUUCGCCUACACGGACAGCUCGCAGAAACAAGACAGCGUUGGGAGAAAAACGUCGAAGGCGUCUUUGCUGUCCUUCGGCCCUCUCCUUGCUGCCCGCUGCUCUCUGGCCGGUGAGUGGGUGGUGGUGGUGGGGGGGGGUGCACAAGGAGGGGUGACUCUUUGUGCCCCGCUGCUCAGUUUGCUUCCUUAUCCGUGCAUCACAUGCCCCUUGAGUGCGCGGUAACUCGGGUCGGGUGCGGAAAGCUGCUCUUUCGAUGUGCGCGGGUAAAGGCCUGAGCCUCCUUCUUCCUCUGUGUCUGUGUCUUCCUUACCGGCUUGUCUCUCACUUUUUUUUUGUUUCACAUCCCUCCCUCUUUCAUGCCCUGUUGUCGUCACCCUUGCCUGUGUGUGCGUGCGUUGGGUGUCUCUGAGAG
rnacentral:misc_RNA from 1 species